UACGUAGGUGGCAAGCGUUGUUCGGAAUUAUUGGGCGUAAAGCGUGCGCAGGCGGUCCGCUAAGACCGAUGUGAAAUCCCCGGGCUUAACCUGGGAACUGCAUUGGUGACUGGCGGGCUGGAGUAUGGCAGAGGGGGGUAGGAAUUCCACGUGUAGCAGUGAAAUGCGUAGAGAUGUGGAGGAAUACCGAUGGCGAAGGCAGCCCCCUGGGCCAAUACUGACGCUCAUGCACGAAAGCGUGGGGAGCAAACAGG
rnacentral:rRNA from 1 species